UACACACUGCAAUCGGCAAUAUAUUUUCAAGACUAGUUUUGAGUAAUAAGCUAUACGUAAAUAUCAGAUAUCGAAGUAUUUAAAGUCGAUUCAUUCCGCAACUGCCUGUUAUGAACACGCGUAGAGAAUGUAUUAUUUUCGAGUAGUUUUAAGUUGUCUAUGAUGUGUAUGGAGGGAAACAUUAAUCAAUACAUUUAUUUGUUUGGUUGCUGUUAGUGCAUUAUUUUUGUGAAACUUUUCAUCUAUAAAAGCGUAAGUGUUGAUCUCGACAUUUAAUAGUUGUGUGUGUGUUUGAAUAAACAAAAUAGUACAUUUUAAACUAGUUUCGUCUCCACGCAAAAACGCAGUCAUUUUGGACAACUGAGAAGUUGAGAAACAGAGAAUAAUUCAAGAUCAGCUAGGUGAGUCUUGAUUAUUUUGCAAUGCUUAAUGCAUUUUUCAUUUCAGUAUCCUGUGGUAAGUACACUAACUUUCUAUAAUUUCAUAUUGAACUGUUUUGAUGACUUGUAUACUGCUAUGCAAAAUGUCUGUUUUUCAUUUCAGUAGCCUGUGGUAAGUACACUAACUUUCUUUAAUUUUCAUAUUAAACUGUUUUGAUGACUUGUAUACUGUUAUGCAAUGCUUAAUGUAUUUUUCAUUUCAGUAUGGCUGUGGUAAGUACACUAACUUUCUAUAAUUUCAAAUUGAACGUUUUGUAACUUGUAUACUGUUAUGCAAUGCUUAGUGUUUCUUACAUUUCAGUGUGGCUGUGGUAAGUACACUAACUUUCUAUAAUUUCAUAUUGAACGUUUUGUAACUUGUAUACUGUUAUGCAAUGCUUAAUGUUUUUUACAUUUCAGUGUGGCUGUGGUAAGUACAUUAACUUUCUUUAAUUUUCAUAUUGAACUGUUUUGAUGGCUUGUAUACUGUUAUGCAAUGCUUAAUGUAUUUUUCAUUUCAGUAUGGCUGUGGUAAGUACACUAACUUUCUAUAAUUUCAUAUUGAACGUUUUGUAACUUGUAAACUGUUAUGCAAUGCUUAAUUAUUUUUUUACUUCAGUGUGGCUGUGGUAAGUACACUAACUUUCUUUAAUUUUCAUAUUGAACUGUUUUGAUUACUUUUGUUCUGCUAUGCUCUUUUCCAUUUCAGCUGGGCCAGAUGUAAGUACACUUCAUUCAUGUAAAAACUAAAUAUGAUUGUUGUGCUAUACAAAAUGUGUUUUUUUCAAUUUCAGGUCAGCAAUGGUAAGUAGAUUGUGUUUCUUUAUGUAUAAUUCUGUAAACAUAUUGUUUUUUCAUCAUAUCAUGUCUUUUAUAUUUAGGCUUUGUGUUAGUUAAAACAAAUGUUAAAAAAUCAUUCUUAAACUUGAUACUAAAAAUGUAUUGUGCUAUGCAAAAUGUCUGUAUGAUUUCAGUUUCCAGAGGUGAGUACCAAUACAGUUGAAAAGUUGGUUUAGUUAACGUUUUGGUUCACAGUUCUGUUUGUUAUUUGGCAAAAUUUACAUGUAUGCAUUGAGUCUUGAUUUCAGCUCGAGUUUGGACUGAAGAAGAUUGCCAGCAGAAGGAUUGGAUACACAAUACAAAGUAAGUACUGAGUUUCUUACUAAAAGUUUUGAGUUGUAUUCAUUGUGUGUUAAUAUGCUAUGAUUGCUAUGAACAUGACUUUUGUAUUUCAGCGAAGACAACAUAGGUAAGUAGAAUUGUUCGCUGUUUCAAGUUAACUGUUAUAGUUCAACAUUUGGUUCAUAAAUUGUAAGUUGUACAAACAAAUGAAAAAGUUUCUUAUCAUGCUUUCGAUUUCAUUUCAGCUUUACUGCUAGACGAGUGUUCUCUAUUUCUAGACGAGUCAGGUUUACUAACAGGCGAGCAGUGACAACAAGGCGCCUUUGUGGAAACAACAAAACAAACAACUCUAGUGCUAGACGAGCAGUGACAGCAAGGCGCCUGAGUAGACAACACAACACAAAAAAUGCCAAUUUGCAAACCUUGAUGUGGACACCGAGUAGGCAAUACAUACGUGUGGCGUACAGCUGCGACAAAACCGUGUUUUCAUCGCACCGAUAACAAGAACAUUGUCCCGUGUAUGGAAAUCAGUGCAACUUUGUGAAUCCAUGUAACUUUGUGAAUCCAUGUAACUUUGCGAAUGUGUGUCGAUCAAAAAAAUGUGAAACGAACUCGGUGUUGCAAGUGGCAAGUGUUGACAGUGUGCAUGUUUAUGUUUAUGUUUUUACAUGAAAAAUAAAGGAGAUUGUUCUCCUACCUUUU